rnacentral:lncRNA from 1 species
UCCCCUCUAAAUGAAAUUUCAUCCUCAAAAUUUUUCUUGCUUGAGUCUUUAUAGUUUCUUACUUGAAUCUCAUCCACAAAUAUUCUAAUUCUUGAUAUAAAUUCAUUCUUAAAUCAUUUCAUAAGAAAAAUUGGUACAUCAAAUAUCUAUCUGAAACGGAACCAUUCAUUUUCUUAUUUAUCAAGAUCCACGUCUCAAA